AUGCCUAACACAUGCAAGUCGAACGGAAACGAAGGAAGCUUGCUUCCAGGCGUCGAGUGGCGGACGGGUGAGUAAUGCUUGGGAAUCUGCCCAAUAGUGGGGGAAAACUCGGGGAAACUCGAGCUAAUACCGCAUAAGCUCUUUGGAGGAAAGGGGGCCUCUACAUGUAAGUUCUCGCUAAUGGAUGAGCCCAAGUCAGAUUAGCUUGUUGGUAAGGUAAUGGCUUACCAAGGCUACGAUCUGUAGCUGGUCUGAGAGGAUGAUCAGCCACACUGGGACUGAGACACGGCCCAGACUCCUACGGGAGGCAGCAGUGGGGAAUAUUGCACAAUGGGCGAAAGCCUGAUGCAGCAAUGCCGCGUGUGUGAAGAAGGCCUUAGGGUUGUAAAGCACUUUCAAUAGAGAAGAAAAGCUUGAGAACAAUACUUUCAAGUAUUGACGUAACCUAUAGAAGAAGCGCCGGCUAAUUCCGUGCCAGCAGCCGCGGUAAUACGGAAGGUGCGAGCGUUAAUCGGAAUUACUGGGCGUAAAGCGCGCGUAGGCUGUUAAAUAAGUCGUAUGUGAAAUCCCCGGGCUUAACCUGGGAACUGCAUCCGAAACUAUUUAACUAGAGUAUGGGAGAGGGAAGUAGAAUUUCCGGUGUAGCGGUGAAAUGCGUAGAUAUCGGAAGGAACCCAGUGG
rnacentral:rRNA from 1 species